rnacentral:rRNA from 1 species
GACGAACGCUGGCGGCGUGCUUAACACAUGCAAGUCGAACGAUGAAGCCGCUUCGGUGGUGGAUUAGUGGCGAACGGGUGAGUAACACGUGGGCAAUCUGCCCUGCACUCUGGGACAAGCCCUGGAAACGGGGUCUAAUACCGGAUAUGACACGGGAUCGCAUGGUCUCCGUGUGGAAAGCUCCGGCGGUGCAGGAUGAGCCCGCGGCCUAUCAGCUUGUUGGUGGGGUGAUGGCCUACCAAGGCGACGACGGGUAGCCGGCCUGAGAGGGCGACCGGCCACACUGGGACUGAGACACGGCCCAGACUCCUACGGGAGGCAGCAGUGGGGAAUAUUGCACAAUGGGCGCAAGCCUGAUGCAGCGACGCCGCGUGAGGGAUGACGGCCUUCGGGUUGUAAACCUCUUUCAGCAGGGAAGAAGCGCGAGUGACGGUACCUGCAGAAGAAGCACCGGCUAACUAC